rnacentral:misc_RNA from 1 species
GAAGGAAGCAGGUUGUUCUGAACCCUUUCUUACGUCAUUUCUGUUCUGGUACUGAUGUGAGUUCUGCUAUAGAUGCUAUAAAUAAUGCUGAAUUACGCUUUCGGAUUCUUGCAGAUUUCUGGGAUAAUUUUAAUAGAGAAGAAGAAGAAGAACGUAAUAGGAAUUUAGGAUACUAAGAUGAUUAUUUUCAAUAAAAGAACUAAUAAUAAUAGUAUGAAAAAGUAUAAUUGGAUUUUUU